rnacentral:lncRNA from 1 species
UUUUGCCCAUCCAGGACUUUUACUUAGAAAAAUGCUGUACAUUAAUUACACCAUUAAGUCACCAUAACUCUCUGUGAUGGCCAGAGAGGAAGUUUUAGAUGUAUUUCAGUUCUCUAGACUCAUCCACAUAGGUAUGCUGCUCCUGAUCAUCCCAAGAGUUUUCUCCAUCUCCAGUCAGACUCCAUUCACAAACAGAACACUGCACCUUUCCUGCAGCUGGCCACCAUUAAACUUUCAGGAGGAUCUCAGUGCAUCGAAGACGGAUUUUGUGGAGUCUGAAGUCAUCCUGAGAAUUUUCCAGAAGAAAGAAACACAUUACUUCAAGAGGAGACAGUGAGACCAUACAGUGCUUAACAGAACUCACAAAAUGUCAAGGCUAAUAUUACACCCUGCCCAGUCACCUCUAAGUAACAGCUCAGACUUUGAGUACAGCGUAAUGAAUGCUUGCAGGAAAUUCUUCAUAGUAAACUCAGAAUUAAAAAGAAUUCCUGAAUACUUUUAAGUAAUGACUAAAAUUUAAGAAAGUCUUGUUUGUGAUUGUGAGCAGAAUCAUGUAUAGAUGAGAUGUAUGAAGAGCCAUGUAGUCUUGCAUUUCUUAGGUUAUAUUUCUCUCUCUCUCUUAAUUCAGAGCUAUACAACUCUAAAUGUUCUUUUUAGUAUGAAAUAUCUCCACUGAGAUUAUUUAUUUAUUGUUUUUGAUUAGUCAUCACUCUUAAGGAACUAGAAAGAGGAGAAUACAGAGAAACUAAAGAAAUCAAAAGUAUAUAGUAGUCAAGAAAAACAUCUCGCAGAUUGGACAAAAUAGAGAAAAUGAGCUCCUAAUUCUGCCACUUACCAGAAACAGUAAAAUAUCAUAUUUGAUAAUUAGUUCACUCAAGAAAGACCUGUACCAAAUCUAACAUAAUUACUUUGAAAAAUUGAUAGCAUACUUUCAGAUAUAUGUGCAAACUUUCUAGUAUUGUGAUUUAAUUUUAACUUGGCAGUUGAGGAUUCGUCUAACUUAAAUUUCAUACAUUUAAAAAUUGGAAAAUUCUAAAAGCUUUGUUAAUAUUAUAUUUUAAGUCACCCUACAGUGGAUAUUCAGCAAAUAGAAAUAAAUCCUUUUACUGUUUACA